rnacentral:rRNA from 1 species
AUCAAUUGAAGGGUUUGAUCCUGGCUCAGAAUGAACGUUGGUAGCAUGGAUUAGGCAUGCAAGUCGAGCGACAAGGUACCUUCGGGUACU